GUCCGAUUCUCCCAGUUCUAAUGAGAUACAACCUGAAAAGUAUUUAAAUCACAUAAGUUAAAAUCAAAUAUAAUUAUCAGUAUAAUGAAAAAUUUAUAAGUUAUAAAUUAAAUCUGAAAAUUCUGGCUCCUCCAAUGCCUGACCAUCCCCUCCUACUGACCAGGGGACAGUUCUGGAUCCAAGGAAUAAGUUCCUCCUCAGUUCUGAU
rnacentral:lncRNA from 1 species